AAGACACAUUUGUCCGGGGAGAAAGAUGUGGAAGACACGUCAGCUUGAAUUUUCUAAGGGUAAGAUAGCUAGUGAAGAUAACAUAUUUCACAGGCUAUGUCCAAAAAGACAAGAUCUUGAACCACAUUAACAAAAGUUGUCAGAUGGACAAACUAUAUUUGUAUGUAUUCAGACAAAUUGAAUGUGUCGCUACUAACGAUAAAAGUCAUAUUUCUGAAUAAUGAUCAUCAACAAGCAUAGACAUGUGCCAAGACAUUGGGUAAAUCAUAAAAGUGUGUGAAAAAUGAAAUUAAAAUUUACCCAUAUAACAUGUUGAUACAUGUCAUACCCAAUAAGACAGUAUCUGUUGCUGUAGAUGAAAAGUUAUUGAUCAAACAAAAACACAGCUGUUAAGAUGAAGUGUUUAUUUAUUCUUUAUUAUAAAAACAAUGGAUAGAUUACCUUUUGAAGGUAAAACAGUGAAUACUCAAGUGGUCAUGAUACCUUUUUCCAACAGGAAGGUUGAUUUAAUAAGACUUAAGUGGACAUGAUACUUUUGUCAACAGGAAGGAAGAUUUGUGAAGUCUUUCAUGGUCAUGAUACUUCUGUGGACAGGGAGGAAGAUUUGUGAAGACUUUUAUGGUCAUGAUACUUCUGUGGACAAGAAGGAAGAUUUGUGAAGACUUUAUGGUCAUGAUACUUCUGUGGACAGGGAGGAAGAUUUGUGAAGACUUUUAUGGUCAUGAUACUUCUGUGGACAAGAAGGAAGAUUUGUGAAGACUUUAUGGUCAUGAUACUUCUGUGGACAAGAAGGAAGAUUUGUGAAGACUUUUAUGGUCAUGAUACUUCUGUGGACAAGAAGGAAGAUUUGUGAAGACUUUUAUGGUCAUGAUACUUCUGUGGACAGGAAGGAAGAUUUGUGAAGUCUUUCAUGGUCAUGAUACUUCUGUGGACAGGAAGGAAGAUUUGCGAAAACUUAUUUGGUUACGAUACUACUGUCAACAAGAAGGAAGAUUUCUGAAGACUUUAGCGGUCAUGAUACCUUAGCCACCAGGCAGGAAGAUUUCUGUGGACUUUUAAUGAUCAUGAAACAUUUAUAAACAGGAAACAUAUCCUUGUCACCAGUCAUACAACAGGAAUGUUUAAAUUAUUAUCGUUGUAAGGGUAAAGUAGCAUUAAUUCAAUUAUCUCUACACUGGCUUGUAACACACCCAAAUUAAUGUUUCUUUUGUCUUAUUUAUAAUGCUUUUAUAAGAAGCUCACUUGAGCAUUACAUACAAAGGUAAGCUUUUGUGGUUGAGCAUCAUACAUACAAUGUACAAGACAGUUAGUUUUUUUUAAAUAACUAAUUUUUGUUAAAACACUUAUUAUUGCUAGUAAGUCUUUCUGUUUCCAAUUUUUUUACUGUAUAAUUAUCUUUUCAUGUCUUAUGAAUUGUAAGAACAAUUAACAUAUUUAGGAAACUUGGAUAUUUUUCAACUUCUAACAAACUAGUAAAUAACAUUUUACUCAACACUUUUUCACAACUGUCAAAACAAUAAGCUUGAAACUUGGGAGACUUGGUUACAUGGACAAGGUACAUUUGUUACAGAAGGGUCAUUAUUCUUAAAGCUAUGUAUUUUAAGUAACACCUUUUUUAACCUGGACUUUUUGUCAAAAUUGUUUAUAAAGUUGAAUGAUUAGAUCAUCAUGAAGCACUUUAAAAUCAUGACAAGGCACAAUUUUUAAACAAGGGGCAUUAUUCUGGAUGCAAUAUAUUAGAGUUAUGCCACUUUUUAACAUUUGAGUAGAAUGAUUUCAAAAGAAUGAAAUAUAUUAUAUAAACAUGAAUCUUUGAAAACUUGUAUUUCAUGACAAGGCACAGUUAAUAGAAAGAUAUAUUUUUGGAGUUGUGCCCUUUUUUAAAUUAGAUGUUUUUUGUUGCUUAUUAUCAGUAGAAUUAUUUUAUACUAUCAAAGUAUCAACUUGAACUUCAAAUACUUGAUUAUCAUGAGAGGGCACAGAUGUGAGGCAAGGGACAUUAUCCUGAAAGCAAUACUUUUAGGAUUGUAAUACUUGUAUUGAAAAAAUUGGUAAUAGAUAGCGGUUGCCCUUCACAGACAAGCCUUAACACUGCAUGUUGUGCUAGUGUCCUAAGGAUAGUCUUUCCUUCAUGAAACACCGUUUCUUUUGCCAAAUUUGAUGUGUUCAAGAUAUGCAAAGAACAAUGUUUGAAUGGCAGGCUUCGAUGGCCAUAAUUUUGUUAUAUAUAAUUACUACCCCCUGUUUAUUAAAUCAGAAGCAGAAUUUUGAAAUUGCUUGAAAUUGCUUGAAAUUGCAUUGUUUGUCCAUGUUUGUUAACAACUUUCCAAGGUAGUCAUGAUAGACAGUUGUUGCAAAGAUCUGACUUUAGUUCAUCAUUUAAAGCGCAUCAAAAUUAGUCAGGUUGUUCCCUGGAAGUUUUUAGUACCUUUGAUUUCACAGUCUGAGUUUCAUAUGUCUGGUUGUAUGAACCAACUAUGUCUGGUUGUAUGAACCAACAUGCUUCUUUUCUUGUCAUCAAUAUAAUCUUAAUAAACCCUCUUACUUAAUAUCAUUUUAGUUCGACAAACUUAACUGAAACUGACCAGCAACCUUCGUAAGUAGAAAGUUCAGAUUUCUCCUUGUGCUCAAUCUCUUUUUUUUUUUCAAAUGAUGAUAACGUUUUUAUUUUUGCUAAUAUUUGUGUCAUGUAAAGAGUCUCCAGAUAUUGAUGAUUUAUUUGCCCCAAACUGUAGAACAAUGUUUAUGGAAGCGCACUUGUAAUGAAUAUCAGCUACUAGUAUGGAAAGAACUCACUUGUGCAACUUUAACGUGGAAAAGUUUGUACAUAAAAACAUACUUUUGAGUAAUAUGAAAUAAAAGAUCAUACUUGACUUAUAAUAUUAAUAAAAUACAUAUUUGUAUCCAGCAUGAAAUUCAGCUUCAAUUAUUGUCACUAAAUCUUAUAACAUUGUUUUUCUAUGCUCACACAAAAACAAACCGAACUUGCUGCCAUCAGGUCAUACAAUAAUUAAAAAUACAAGAAAGGAAAGUGAAAAGCAACUAACAACAAGAGCAAACAAAAACAUAAUAUAAACAAAAUAUUGACAAUGGUACAUAAAGCUUAUUGAAUAUCAAGUGUGCAGCAAUACAAGAGAAAUACAAGGGAAAUACAUUGAUUUUUCUAUAUUUAAACUUGCUUAGUUUUGCUGUGAAAUAAGAUGAUCUGUGGUAUCAUCAUCUUAAGCAAUUUCCCCAAGACCAAACACAUUGCAUUCUCUCAACAUUCUCAUUGACUUAUCCACUGCCCCUCAAAAUUGCACUUUAGGAGCAUGGAUGCUUAACCUUCAGGGUAAAAAAAUGAGAACAAAGAUAACAUAUGGUGUUUGAGCUAUGUUAGUUUUUGGCGGGUAGCUGUCAUCACUAAAGACCAUGGCAGCUUCUUAGAUCAUGGCAGCUUCCUCGACCUUAAGAGCAUUUGCCAAUAUUAAAGGUUAAUGAGAGUAAAAUCAUAGAUUUCUUUUUGUUCUCCUUGUUGAAUGCUGAAAGGAAUAUAUAAUUAUUAAAACUGAUUAUAAAAAUAUAUCAAAAUAUUUCAUAUUAAAUGUUGGAUUUAUUUCCUGGCCUUGUGUGUACUUAAAGUCUAGUGUCACAGAGAUGGUGUGGAUAUUUCGUCAAUCUCCUGACAGCUCUAGUGCAAACAGGUCUUUGAUAGUAGGUUAUCCACUUUGAUGGCUUUAUAUCAUACUAUCACACUCCUGUGGACACGGUUUGUUCUAUGUUUAUUUCCAUUAGCUUUGGCAUUUUCUUUGGCAAUGACAGGAGAAAAUUUGUUUUGUUUCAUGUUCAGGUGACAGUCUCGCAUGAUGAAUAUUUCUAUAUUUUGAUUUUCAAAUCCAGUGAACUCAGUGACUUCUCUGAAAUAUACCAAUGAAGUUUGAUCAUGGUACAUUCUGUUUAAUUGUUUUGAAACUUGGGACAACUUCUCACGAUCAUGCUUUGUAUAUGUUUACAUUUGAAGAAUCAUUUCAUCAGGCAUAUUUAGUAUUUGCUUUCCUGUAUUAGAAAUAAACUAUUUAAAUCUCAAUAGUGAACCAUUCUAAAAUGGGUCUUUUUCAAUAUGUAUAGAACAUAUACCAAACAAAUCUGCCCUUUGAAAGCAUCAAAAUUAGAUUUUAACAUGAUAAUAAUUGACAAAGGCAUUAAUAAGGCAUUUGAAUUAUAAACAUGUGACUCAAAGCAUUACUUUGAAAAAGUGGUGUCAGUCACAUCAUCUGUUCGAUUCAAUAAUCGAGUUUCCUGAAAUAUCGUCCAUAACACCACUGCUCCUAGGCAUCUGUAGAAACAGUGAUGUGUAGGUGAUAUAUAUGGCAAUACCUCUUUCAUGUCUUUCUUUUCCUUAUAGUUUAUUGAUCUGUUAUAACGGUUUAUCAGGCGUCUCUCUUAGUCUAUUGUUGUAUGACCUAUACCUGUUGGAAUGUUUAGUGUUGGGAUGGUCUUCUGAAGGUCAAAUGUAAUAACACAUAUUGUCUUGUCACUUUUUACACAUGUCCUUGCUGGGUAUUUUGAAUGAAUGUUAAUAUUUUCCCUCUCUUCAAAAUAUCUAUAUUUUGUGCAUUCAUAACUCCAAUGAUUUUCCCAGAGUAUAUACAUAUUUUUUGAGUAGUCUUUAUUGAUUGUAUUUGUUCUACUUGCUAACAGAUAUAAUUAGCUACUAUAGUGCUCCAUUAGUAGUAACACUAUACUACAGCAAAGAAAUCUCUUAUAGAUGUAUAUUCUCUAGAACAGUCACUAUGUGUAGGUCGUUUAAUGCUGUAUUUAAAUUAAAUACUUUCAGGCAUUUGUCUCUUAUUUCUUUCUGCACUGUUUACUUUUAUCCCUUUUUCAACAUUGUUAUUCUUUUUCUCAGCUGUCACACGAGCAACAUGAUAAUUCUCAUUAGAUAGUUCCAACCAAGAUACCGCGCUCCUCGCCUCUCCGUAUACUUUGCUUCGUAAGUAAUAAAAUUUUUAAAUAUCGGAGAUAUUUUUAUUUCUAUCACCGUUAAAUGAACACAUGUGUAACCAGUAGCUAGUAACCGGCAAUUUAACUGUCAUCGUUCUCUCAGUAUUUUUUUCUUUUUUAGACGUUCAAAAAAGGCUUUUUGUAACGUCAUUUGUUUCUGUUGUUGUUUUAUGAUACAACAAUACAUUUUUAGCUCGACUAUACGAAGUAUAUGGAGAGCUGUCCUACUCGCUCGGCGUCCGCGUCCAGAUUUUAGAUUAAAGUUUUCGUGCAGUAAAAUAUUUUUUCACUAUAACUUUGUCAUUUCUUAAGGUAUCAACUUCAAACUUCAAAUAUAUGUUCCUUAUCAUCAACCACAUCUUAUGUGACAAGGUUCAUAACUCUAGCACCAAUAUUUUCAGAUUUAUCUCCCCUUGAACUUAGAAUUUUCCUUAAAAAUACUUUUUUUUACUGUUCCUUCUUUAUUUCUUACAGGAUCAAUUUCAUACUUCAAAUAUAUGUAUCUUAUCAUCAUCAACAUCUUAUGUGACAAGGUUCAUAACUCUAGCGCCAAUAUAUUUAGAUUUAUCUCCCCUAGAACUUAAAAUUAUCCUUAUGAAAUAUUACUUUUUACUGUUACUUAAGGGAUCAACUUCAUACUUCAAAUAUAUGUACCUUAUCACCAUCCUUAUCUUAUGUGACAAGGUUUUUAACUCUAGCACCAAUAUUGCAAGAAUUAUCUCCCCAUAAACUUAGAUUUUUUUUCUAGAAAAAUGUUAUUUUUUACUAUGACAUUUUUAGUUUUAAACGUACAUGUAUCCACCUCAAACUUCAAAUACUUAUUCCUUAUCAUCAAUUACAUUUUAUGUUACAAUGUUCAUAACUCUUGAAGCAAUAUAUACAGAUUUAUUAUCCCCCGCCGAAAAGGCGGCGGGGGAUAUAGAAAUAGUCUCCGUCCGUCCGACCUUCCGCACUCACAGGAGAGUAAUUAUGUGGCUAGAGGGACAAUAGGUAACUGUUCUUUCUCUUUGAUGUCAUUCAUUCCGUAAUGCUUUUAUGUGGCUAUUUUCUUUUGUGUGGCUAAAAAGAAAAAUAGAGAGUACAAUAGAGUAGCCACAUAAUUACUGUCCUGUGAGAACGUCCGUCAGUCCGUCCGACAUUUUUGUCCGGAGCAUAUCUCUAAAAGUAUUUGAGUAAUCAACUUGAAACUUCAUAGGUGGAUAGACCUCUUUGAGGAGGAGUGCAGUGCACAAGAAUGAUAACUCUACCCUGCAUAAUUUUUGAGUUAUUGCCCUUUGUUAUUUUUCAAAAUUGAUUUUUGUCCAGAGCAUAACUCAAAAGGCCUUUGAGAUAUCAUUAUGAAACUUCAUAUGUGCAUAGAUCUAACUCAGGAGGUGUGCAGUGCACAAGAAUGAUAAAUCUACCUUUUAUAAUUUUAGAGUUAUUGCCCUUUGUUAUUUUUCAUACUUAAUUUUUCAAUUCAAUUUUUUUCUCAAAAAGUAUUUGAGGUAUCAACUUGAAAUUUCAUAGGUGGAUAGAUUUUACUGAGGAGGGAAUCAGCACACAAGAAUGAGAACCUACCCUGCAUUAUUUUUCAGUUACUGCCCUUUGUUAUUUUUUCACAUAGGUUUCAAAUUUGUAAUCACUAUAGCCAUCAGUUUUCAUUACCAAAUUACCUCUUAAAAUGGAAUUAUUCUGCUGUACUACAUAUACAUUCUUCCAAUGAGCAAACACAUUCGACGGGGGAUGGCCAUGUUGACAUGGCUCUUGUCUCUCAUUGAACUUAGGAUUUUUCAUACAAAAUAUUAUAACUUCUUUACUUUUUAAGGUAUCUACUUCAAACUUCAAAUAUAUAUUUCUUAUCAUUACACACAUGUUGUGUGACAAGGUUCAUAACUCUAGCGAGACUAUUUCUAGAAUUAUUCCUCUUGAUCUUGGAAUUAAUGUUAACAAUGUUAUUUUUGUGCCCCCACUUUAGUGGCGGGCAUUUAGAUUUACCCUUGUCCAUCCGUCCGUCUGUCCUUCCAUCCAUCCGUCCGUCCCUUCUCUUUUGUGUCGCACGUAACUCAAAAAGUAUUUAACUUAGAGUCAUAAAACUUUACAGGAAUGUUGAUCAGCAUGAGUAGUUGUGCACCUGGGUCUUUUCGUCUGGAUAUUUUUAGUGUUUUUAGCUCGACUAUUCGAUAAGAAUAAGUAGAGCUAUUGUAGUCACCCGAGCGUCGGCGUCCGCGUCGGCGUAACCACUUAUGUUAAAGUUUUUGUAAUAGUUUAAAUAUUUUCAAAGUCCAUUGACAUAUGGCUUUGAAACUUUGCACACUUGUUCAACAUCAUUACCCCAACCCGUAAACAGGAGGCGGUAACUGUAUCAAUCAUUUUGACAGAAUUAUGCCCCUUUUCGACUUAGAAUUUACGUUAAAGUUUUUGUAAUAGUUCAAAUAUUUUCAAAGUCCAUUGACCUAUGGCUUUGAAACUUUGCACACUUGUUCAGCAUCAUUACCCCAACCCGUAAACAGGAGGAGGUAACUGUAUAAAUCAUUUUGACAGAAUUAUGCCCCUUUUUUCGACUCAGAAUUUACGUUAAAGUUUUUGUAAUAGUUCAAAUAUUUUCAAAGUCCAUUGACAUAUGGCUUUGAAACUUUGCACACUUGUUCACCAUCAUUACCCCAACCUGUAAACAGGAGGAGGUAACUGUAUCAAGCAUUUUUUUUUUACAAUCAAGCACUAAGAAUAGUCGAGCGUUGCUGUCCUACCGACAGCUCUUGUUAGAGUUAUUGCCCUUGACUUAGUAAAAUUUUGCAAUUUUCAACUUGUGUCGCAUGUAACUCAAAAAUUAUUUGACCUAGAGUCAUGAAACUUUACAGGAAUAGUGAUCAUCAUGUGUAGUUAUGCACCUGGGUAUUUUCGUCUGGAUAGUUUUAGUAUUUUUAGAGUAAUUGCCCUUGACUUAGUAAAAUUUUGCAAUUUUCAACUUGUGUCGCAUGUAACCCAAAAAGGAUUUGACCUAGGGUCAUGAAACUUUACAGGAAUGUUGAUCAGCAUGUGUUGUUGAGCACCUGGGUAUAUUCGUCUGGAUUUAUUUAGUAUUUUUAGAGUUAUUGCCCUUGACUUAGUAAAAUUUUGUAUUUUUCAACUUGUGUCGCAUGUAACUCCAAAAGGAUUUGACAUAGAGUCAUGAAACUUUACAGGAAUAUUGAUCAGCAUAUGUAGUUGUGCACCUGUGUAUUUUCGUCUGGAUUUAUUAAGUAUUUUUAGAGUUUUUGCCCUUGACUUAGUAAAAUUUUGUAAUUUUCAACUUGUGUCGCAUGUAACUCAAAAAGGAUUUGACUUGUAGGCCUGAAAAUUUUCAAGAAUGUUGGUCAGCAUGUGUACUUAUGCUCCUUGGUGUUUGCUUGUGGAUUUAUUCAGUAAUUGUAAAGUUCUUGCUCUUUACUUAGUAAAAGAUUUUUAGUUUUCAAAAGAUAUUUGACCUAGAAUCAUAAGAUUGACAGUACAGUGGCACGGUGGGGGCACCCGUGUCCUAUGGACACAUUUCUAUGGUUUACUAUAAAUUAAAACAUACUUAUACAUAAUUGAUUUUUCUUUCAUAGUUUUGUCUUACUAACUGUGUCCAGUAUUUUAUUAGUCGAGCUUCGCUGUCUCCUGUGAUAGCUCUUGUUUAGUUCCUUAUAGUGCCCUUUAGGGUGGUAAUACCUCAAAUGAUUUCAUUGAACAUAUUUGCUCAAUGAUAUUUUUGUACGAAAUGCCUACACCUAUUUUGUAACACCAUAAUCAUUCAAUGUACAUUCAUAGACAUUCAAUAGAUUGAAACUGGACAGUAAGUUCGUUUCCUUUUUGACACAUUUUGAUGGUGUAAAUAAAUUAUGAUCUUUUCAUUUUAAAUAUAAUAUAAACUUCUUAAAUUUUAUAAGGAAUAACUAUUUUAAUAUCACAUCAUAAGAUCAUACGAAGUGUAUGUAAAUUUGUACAUUGAACAAAUUUUGAAAAUUUUCGGACACAUUACUUUGGAAAUUGAAAAGUGUCUUUUGAAAUUCUUCAAAUAGUAUAUUGAUAAUAAAUUUAUUUACUUGUCUCACAGUGUAUCCCUGUGAAUCCGUUUCCCGCACAGUUACAGAAAAUCAUAGAGUUUUGAAAGUAACACUGGGACUGUUCAGUGCAGUUGCCUGAAAAGUAUUAAUAGAUUAAUUCCUUGUAUGCUUCUCCAUAAUAUUCAUUACAUGCGCAUGCUUUAAAAUUACUUAUAAUUUGUCGUAUUCCUCUUUUAUCGCCAUUGUGGUCAUUAAUUUAUUAUAACACAAUUAUAUCAUUCUUGUGUUAUAAAAACACGGCCUGAAAAUGAAAAAUAAUUAUUAUUAACUUAAAUUGUAUUUGUUUUACUUGUUGACUAAAUCACAACCUUUUAAUGGAUAUGUAUAAAAUGUCCUUUCUUGACUUUCUUUUAACGUGACAGAAACAUUUUGUUUUGUUUGUUAUACAUGUGAAUGAACUACAAUUUGAACUGGUUCAAGAUAAUGAUUACGUUGUGGAUAUAUCAUUGUCCUGAAAGCAAUAUUUUUUUAAGUGUUAUGCCCCUAUUUAUCAAAAUGUGUUAUUUAACAGACAAACAAACACCGUAUAUAGUGCAUUUUUAGCUCACCUGUCACAAAGUGACAGGGUGAGCUUUUGUGAUCGCUUUUCGUCCGGCGUCCGUCCGGCGUCCGUCCGUCCGUAAACUUUUACUUUAAAUGACAUCUCCUCAUAAACCACUAAGCCAAUUUCAUCCAAACUUCACAGGAAUGUUCCUUUGGUGGUCACCUUUAAAAAUUGUUCAAAGAAUUUAAUUCCAUGCAGAACUCUGGUUGCCAUGGCAACCGAAAGAAAAAACUUUAAAUAUCUUCUUUUAAAAAACCAUAAGAGCUAGAGCUUAGAUAUUUGGCAUGAAACAUCUUCUAGUGAGUGUCUACCAAGUGUGUUCAAAUAAAAGCCCUGGGGUCAAAAUUGGCCCCGCCCCGGGGGGGUUAUUGAAUUUCCCUAUAUGCAUAUAGUAAAAACUUAAAAAAUCUUCUUUUAAAGAACCCAAAGAGCUAGAGCUAAGAUAUUUAGCAUGAAACAUGUUCUAAUGGGUGUCUACCAAGUUUGUUCAAAUAAAAGCCCUGGGAUCAAAAUUGGCCCCGCCCCAGGGGGUCAUUGAUUUUCCCUAUAUGCAUAUAGUAAAAACUUAAAAAAUCUUCUUUUAAAGAACCAAAAGAGUUAGAGCUAAGAUAUUUAGCAUGAAACAUGUUCUAAUGGGUGUCUACCAAGUUUGUUCAAAUAAAAGCCCUGGGAUCAAAAUUGGCCCCGCCCCGAGGGGUCAUUGAUUUUUCCUAUAUGCAUAUAGUAAAAACUUAAAAAAUCUUCUUUUAAAGAACUCAAAAAGCUAUGGCUAAGAUAUUUAGCAUCAAACAUGUUCUAAUAGGUGUCUACAAAGUUUGUUUAAAUAAAAGCCCUGGGGUCAAAAUUGGCACCGUCCCGGGGGUAAUUGAUUUUCCUUAUAUGUGUAUAGCAAAAACUUAAAAAAUCUUCUUUGAAAAAACCCAAAUAGCUAGAGUUAAGAUAUUAAGCAUGAAACAUCUUUUAGUGAGUGUCUACAAAGUUUGUUCAAAUAAAAGACCUGGGGUCAAAAUUGGCCCCGCCCCGGGGGUCAUUGAUUUUCUUUAUAUGUGUAUAGCAAAAA